rnacentral:rRNA from 1 species
GGGAGUUCGACGGCAGUGAUUAGAGUUUGAUCAUGGCUCAGGAUGAACGCUGGCGGCGUGCCUAAUACAUGCAAGUCGAACGAGGUAGCAAUACCGAGUGGCGAACGGGUGAGUAACACGUAGGUAACCUGCCCUUAAGCUUGGGAUACCCAGAGGAAACUUUGGCUAAUACCGGAUAACAACAGAGAAGGCAUCUUCUUUGCUUGAAAGGCCCCUUCAAGGGUCACUUAAGGAUGGACCUGCGGCGCAUUAGCUAGUUGGUGAGAUAACAGCCCACCAAGGCGAGGAUGCGUAGCCGAACUGAGAGGUUGAUCGGCCACAUUGGAACUGAGACACGGUCCAAACUCCUACGGGAGGCAGCAGUAAGGAGUUUUCGGCAAUGGGGGAAACCCUGACCGAGCAACGCCGCGUGAGCGAUGACGGUCCUUUGGAUUGUAAAGCUCUGUUGUAAGCCAUGAAUGAUAGCUUUAGGAAAUGAAAGCUAUUUGACGACAGCUUACCAGAAAGCCACGGCUAACUACGUGCCAGCAGCCGCGGUAAUACGUAGGUGGCAAGCGUUAUCCGGAAUUAUUGGGCGUAAAGAGUGAGCAGGCGGUUAAUUAAGUCUGAGGUUAAAGCGUGGGGCUCAACCCCAUAAAGCCUUGGAAACUGAUUGACUAGAGUACGGGAGAAGUGAAGGGAACUCCAUGUGUAGCGGUGAAAUGCGUAGAUAUAUGGAAGAACACCAGUGGCGAAGGCGCUUCACUAGCCCGAAACUGACGCUCAGUCACGAAAGCGUGGGUAGCAAAUAGGAUUAGAUACCCUAGUAGUCCACGCCGUAAACGAUGACAACUAAAUAUUGCCGCGAGGCAGUGUUGAAGCUAACGCAUUAAGUUGUCCGCCUGGGGAGUACGGUCGCAAGACUGAACUUAAGGAUUGACGGGGACCCGCACAAGCAGUGGAGCAUGUGGUUUAAUUCGACGCAACGCGAAGAACCUUACCAGGCUUGACAUAUUGGAUUACUACCCUCUAGAGAUUAGAGGAGACUAUAAAUACAGGGGGUGCAUGGUUGUCGUCAGCUCGUGUCGUGAGAUGUUGGGGUUAAGUUCCCGCCAACGAGCGCAACCCCGUCCUAGUGGCCAUCAUCAGUUGGGAGCUCUAGGAUACUUCUCGAUGUAAGUUCGAGAAAGUUGAUUACUCAUCAUCUAUGGCUUUGUCUGGCGCACACGUGUCUUAAUUGGCGGUCAAGGAGCGCGAAUCUCUUGUGAGGAGAGACAAAU